rnacentral:rRNA from 1 species
GACGAGCCACACAAACGUUAUUCGGAAUUACUGGGCUUAAAGGGUGCGUAGGCGGUGCGGAAAGUUGGGUGUGAAAUCCCUCGGCUCAACCGAGGAACUGCGCCCAAAACUACCGCACUUGAGGAAGAUAGAGGUGAGCGGAACUUACGGUGGAGCGGUGAAAUGCGUUGAUAUCGUAAGGAACACCCGUGGCGAAAGCGGCUCACUGGGUCUUUUCUGACGCUGAUGCACGAAAGCUAGGGGAGCAAACGGG